ACAAUCUACUGGCAAAUCCUUUUUAAUCCUUGUCAUAUGAAAAUAAAUAAUGAAGAGAAAUUAUAGAUAAACGUAUCGGUGCUAAUGGACAUGAACAUUACGCAACAAGUUGGAAAUCGCAAAUUCAACAAGGAGUGUUUUGGAAGGAAUCGGUGACAGUGUCUACCUGCCAGCAUUGCAACUUGGAAGUCGGGAAUAAACGAGCUCAGACUGGGAAAUACAUUUUGAAUGGUCAUCCAACUCAGAAUUGUAAAUCUGGCCUCUUUCUCUUUCUUUGAUGACAAAAAUUGCCCACGAAGGACCGCCACGCCACCCACCUGUUCAAGUGAGCACAUCACAACAAGGUGAUUCCAAAAAUGUCUUAUAUGCUGCUGCAUAAAGGAUGUAAUAUGCCAGGGAGAUAUGUAUCCUGCAGCUAAGAAGGGAACCAGACCACGGUCAGAGGAGGAGAGAGGGGAGUAUGGUCACAGCCAGAGAUCGACCACAUAUCAUGGGCUGCCCUUAGAUCCUCACCCACACACACACACACACACACACACACACACACACACACACACACACACACACACACACACACACACACACACACACACACACACACACACACACACACACACACACACACACACACGGACAGACACAUAAACAUAUCCUUUUUAGUAUUCCAUGGCUGGGUGGAGAUUGAUGUCGGUAAGCAAUGCCGACAGUAUCCUGAGGUAUUCUGUAUGUCUAUGCAAGCAUGCAAAGACAUACGCACCUUAUCUCACACUCCCACUGUCCUCGGGGGGAUAAGCAGACCUGCAUACCGAUGGGGCAGCGAGAGGCCCUGAUUGACACACACACACACACAGGAUACCGCAGAUACUGUCAGCAUUGCUUACCAACAUCUAUCUCCACCCAGCCAAUACCAAAAAGGAAUAUGUUUGUGUCUGUCCGUACAUGCAUAUGUGCGUGUGUGUGUGUGCGUGCAGUUGUGCGUGUGCAUAUGUGUGUUGUGUGGACUGAUUAGAGUGCAUUCGAUAGAGAACACUAUCCACACACAUCCAUGUGUGUGCGCACGUGCCUGU
rnacentral:lncRNA from 1 species